UAAGGAAUAUUGGUCAAUGGACGCAAGUCUGAACCAGCCAUGCCGCGUGAAGGAUGAAGGUCCUCUGGAUUGUAAACUUCUUUUAUAUGGGACGAAACCCUCGAUUUUCAUCGGGAUUGACGGUACCAUAGGAAUAAGCACCGGCUAACUCCGUGCCAGCAGCCGCGGUAAUACGGAGGGUGCAAGCGUUAUCCGGAUUCACUGGGUUUAAAGGGUGCGUAGGAGGGCAGGUAAGUCAGUGGUGAAAUCCCCGAGCUUAACUUGGGAACUGCCGUUGAUACUAUCUGUCUUGAAUAUCGUGGAGGUGAGCGGAAUAUGUCAUGUAGCGGUGAAAUGCUUAGAUAUGACAUAGAACACCAAUUGCGAAGGCAGCUCGCUACACGAAUAUUGACUCUGAGGCACGAAAGCGUGGGGAUCAAACA
rnacentral:rRNA from 1 species